rnacentral:lncRNA from 1 species
AUUCCCUAAGAUUUUACUUGGUAAUAAUAAGAAUCUUUGCAAAUGAAGACAAGAGGAGAUGGCUGCAGAAGUAUUGGGAGCUGAUGUUUAUCCUCCUGAGAAACCACCAACCUCAGAACUGGAUGAAAGAAAUACGGUGGAUAAGCCAGUUUAAGGAAUUCUUCCAGAAAAGAAGGAGUGGCAUUUGACUGGCCUAGAAAAAUGAACACUAAGUCUGUCAAGAAGACUGGAGCAGGAAGGGGGUUUAAGUAGAUAGCAGAUAGGGGUGAAAGGGACAGAAUAUUUGACAGGAAUGGGGUAUAGAAGGUCCAGGAAAUCAGCAAUGGACACUGGCGGUUGGCUUUGAAUACCAUGCCAAAGAUGGACUUUCCAAUAAGCCAGAGUUGAAAGCUGAUGGUCCGUGGCUGAUAUAAAGUCUCUGGCCUGUCUGUGUAAUAUGUGUGUUUCAAUUAAGUCAACAUUAAUAGAAAAAGAAAAUGUAGGAGACUUUACUUAAAAAUCUGAAUUUCUUUUAAAAAAAUAUAGAAGAUCUAGACGCACUAGGAACACAGGGCCUGCAUCCCCCCCAAGCAGGCCUUUCAUACAGACCACACCUUCACUAAGUUCAUCCAUCCUGUGUCACAAGUGGCACAGGAACAGCAGCAGGGCUAUUUGUCACCACAGUUUAGCUGGGGUUGUUUUUUGUUGUUGUUGUUUUGUUUUGUUUUUUUCUUAUAAUGAGGAAUAUGCAACUCCUUUGGCCUCUAUGGAAAGUGAGAAGGUGAAAGGUGGACAUGGGGUCUGAGUGUCUCAGCGAACCCUUGAGAGGGCACAUUCCUCUGUGGUAGGAAGACGGCUCCACUGCCAUCUGCCCAAGGUGCAGAGUGCAGCCACAGGGACAAAGGCCAUCUAGGGUGCCAAAGUAACAACGAGGACAGUAACACCCCCAGGAGAGCGCACUAUGCCCUUCCUCCUGCCUUCCAAGUGUUUCAAAACUUCCUUCCAAAGACCCUCUGUCUCUCUUAGGAGGAAGGCACUGGUCAAGUUCAUUUUGUGGUGGGGUUCACAGCCAGAGGUUAGUCAGGAUCCAAGGAAGACCCAGAGCACCAGACCACCAGGCAAGGCACCGGCCAGAAAGGGGUGGCUGAGAAUUCCCCAAGACUGCUGGAGGGUGAGCUGGGGUGCUCCCUCCCACGCCCCCACCUGCCACAUACUGAAUGCACCUGCCUGGCAUGCGUCCUGCCCUGACCUCCCCGCAGUUCAAGGAGGUAGGUGGAGGAGGGAGGACUGCAAGCCUGAGGAACCACCUGGAAGUCGCAGAUCUGGAGGUGCGAAUUCCUGCGCCCCCAGAAUCUUCCAGAAACCCUUCCUAGGGCAGCGGCUCUCCGUGAUUGCUAUGAUACCUUCACAGCAUGCCGCCCACAGGCUCUGGGGUCAGCCCAGUCUUGGCUUUCACUGAAGUUAGUGACAAAAGCAGAAAGAGGCUGGUAUUUAGGGCUCCAAGCUUGGGAGCUACACUCAGCAGAUUGCUGUUCAGAACCUGCCCAGUUCCUGCACCGCAAACUUCCAGCUGGAGUCGCAAUCGCUCGCCUUUGGCUCAUUAUUGAGGAAACGGCGCCCCCUGCUGGCACUCCCGACUGCAGCCGAACCGGCAAUCUGUUCGCAGGUCUGCGCCUAGGACAGCCCAGCUCUAUUCACAUGUCAGAAAAAAGUCCAGCCAGACCACGAGCUUUCCUUUCGUUUGUUCUUUUGCAAAUUAACUACUGCUGAGAAGUUGGGAACAUUAUCAUGCAGGUCAUUUUUAUCAAUAAUAAUAAUUACUAAUUAUCAAACUGUAGAAUGUGCCAGGCAGUGAGCUAAAUGCCUAAUUUAUUCAAAUCUCUCUAAUUUAUCCAAUCUCUGAAGAUUAUUAUGCCCAUUUUAUGGGCUAAGAAACUAAAAACACGGAUCAAUUGGUAUGAUUGUCACCUGAUAACUUGAGCAUUACUUAUUUACCGAGCUCACCUGUGCUGGGUGCUGUGGUAUCUCCUGUUUCGGAGAUGCAUGGAUUUCCUUAAUAAAUAAAAUCACAGCACCGCAAGAAGGGGACCAAGCUCUAGUCUGGGCUGCUCUGCCAGGUAUUGUUGUUUGACCUGCUCAUCACAUCCUCCAAUGGUCCUGUGAGGGAGGGUGAUAUAUCCAUUUAGCAGGCGAGAAAAACAGGUUCAGAGAGGUCCACUUACUUGCCUAGGGUCUUCCAGCAGGUUGGCGGAGCUUUAGAUUGAAACUCAGUUCUCCCUGGGGGCAAAGCCAUACCUUCUAAGAGGCUCUACUAAGUGAGAAGCUAUUUACAAAAAAAGAAAGAAAUUUAUUUAGACCCCAGAGACAAUCAAAAUGAUAGAACGAGCAACUCUGCCUAGGGGCAGCCAGGUAAUUCACUAAAAUAGGUGCCCAUCUUUGAGUUCUACCAUUCACUUCCCCAGUCAUCCAAUGGGCCCACAACAUGUUUACUGAGGACCUACUAUGUGCUAGGCCUUUUACUGGAAGCCAGGGAGAUGGUGAUGGCCAAGCUAGUGAGAUGAAGCUUAACCUCAGGGAGCUCAUAGCUGGGGGGAGGGAUCUAGCAGGGAGGUGGAACUCCCAGAAACCCCUCCGAUUGGGAUCAAGUUCAGGGAAGAGAGAGGGCGUGCAGAGCCCCGAGUGAGAUGGUGUGUUUAGGAGGCCUGACUGGGAUGUCACACCUGAGCUGCCUAAGAAGGCCGGGAGCACAGAGGGCCACUUGGAGAGAGGACAGAAGAGUGGCCCAGCUGGGAGAAGGUUCAAGUCAAGGAGCAGGUGGGAGCAGGAUUCUGUGCAAAGGACCCGCAGAGAGGAAGAUGAGGUAGUGGAGCAAAUGGAAAGCUUGAAACUUCAGGCGGGGAACUGGCUGUGGAGGCCACGAGCUCUGCUUUGCCUCUCCUCCCUCACACUCCAGGACUUCCAUGAAGUGCAGUCCGCCCUCCAUAUCCACGGGCUCCACAUCCAUGGAUUCAACCAACCAGGAGUUGAACACAUUACGGGGGGAAUGUGCCUGCACUGAACACCUGCAGGCAUUUUUCUUGUCAUUAUUCCCUAAAUGAUGUGGACCAACUGCUAUUUGCACAGCCUUCACUUCCUGCUAAGUAUCACAGGCCACGAGCGGAAUUAGAGGGUACGGGAGGACGUGCAUAGUUAUGUGCAAAUGCUGCUCCAUUUUGUAAAACAGACUUGAGCAUCAGGAUUUGGUGUCCGCAGGGCUCCUAGAACCGAUUCCCUGUGGAUACCAAGAGAUGACUGUACAAUAAAAAAUAAAUUAGCAGAAAAAUAAAAUGAAGAAAGCAAGACAUGAAAACAUGGCACAAAUUUGCUAUAGCCAGACUCAACAGACAAGAAACCACUCACACUGCUAUUACUGUACUCCUCUAAUCAGAAGAGUUUGCUCACAGGUACUUACCAAAGACCCAUUUUGAGAAGACUGCUUUGGAGCCCCAGUGAGCCACAGCAUCUGUGUCAGAAAGGGUAAGAGUCAUUCAGCCAGGGGCCAAGGAGAAAACACCAGGUGGAGGGCAUCGUGGGCAGAUGCAGAGCUGCAGAAGCUGGCUGGUGUGUUUGGGGACUGACAGAUCACUGGCUAGGUGGGCUGGCGAGGUCAGAGGUGGGGCACGCAGGCAGGCUGCAGUCCUGGGGAGCUGUUGGCUAUGAUAACGACUUGAGCCAUAAGAACUACCCUGAGUAGGUCUUAAGUCUCAAAAGCACAUGCCAGGAUCAUGGCUUCCUUCUGAGUUUUACAAACCCAGCCAAGCUCUGCCCCACCGGCAUCCAGUGCUGUUUUACCCAUUGGAUUUUUAACUUCAGCACACCUCUUCCCCAGCCAAAGAGAGGAAGGAACAGAAAGCACUGGCCUUCAUGAGAUCAAUACAACUGACCCUUGAACAACAGGGUUUGAAUUGUCAAGGCCCACUUAGACAUGGGGUUUUUGUUUGUUUGUUUGUUUGUUUAGUUUUGUUGAAAUUUGUGACCAUUUGACAAAACUCAGGUGGUCAAGAAUUAACACUGCUUAGCCUAGAAAUAUCAAAAACAGUUAAGGUAAAGCUACAGUUAGGUAUGUCAUAAAUGCAUAAAUUAGAUCCAUAACAGUCUAGGUUAUAAUCACUACCAUAAGACAUAUACAAAUCUAUUAUAGAUAGUUAAAAUUUAACGAAACUUUCACAAACACUUAUAGACCACCCACGGCACCAUUCACAGCUGAGAGAAAUGUAAGCAAACAUAAAGAUGCGGUGUUACAUCAUCAUGGCAGGAAGUUAACUGUAGUACACAGACCGAAAUGCUGUGAUCAUUUCGUAGCCACCUCCUGUUGCUAUGGCACUGAGCUCAAGUGUGCUGAAUAGCCUCUUAAACACCGUGGGAUGCCAAUCAUCUCUGCACGAGCAGUUCAUCUCCCCGGUAAAUUGUGUGUUGCAGUAAAAAGUGAUCUCUCGCGUUCUCCAUUAUUUUUAACCACAUAUUCUGCAUACACAAAAUACAAGUUGAUCGAGUGUUAUGUCAUCGGCAAGGCUUCCAGUCAACAGCAGGUUACUAGGAGUUAAGUUUGGGGGAGUCUAAAGCUGUGUUUGGAACUUAGACUGUGCUCAACCCCUGCAUUGUUCAGGGGUCAACUCUACUGAAGUCAAAGGCGGCUGUCCACACCUUCUUUAUCGAGCUCAGCAAUACAGGAGCUGAAGAACUUGAACCGGGAGGCGUGCCCUAGACUGGAUAGUAAUCAUUGGACCCUAUCACUGGGAUUUCAGAAUUACUCAUUUUAUCAUCCCAAGUAUAAUAGAGGCUCCUCGAGGGCAAAAUUAAACCCUACAUAUUUGGACCCAAAUGUCUGUCAAACUUUAUUCAUGAAUGAAGAAAUGGGCUCACCCAAUUCACCUGAGGAAGCCAAUGGCAACUACGGGGUUCCACUUGGGCCACCUGCGCCCUGAGCCUGCUGCUGUCCACACCCUCAUGCAUGGCUGGGGAACUGGGUGAGCUCACGGAGGGACAAAGUGCAGCUGGAGGGUACACAUUCAACAUCGCUAAACAUUUCCACAGCCAGAAAAGCAAUGACCAGCAAGC